rnacentral:rRNA from 1 species
UAGGGAAUCUUCGGCAAUGGACGAAAGUCUGACCGAGCAACGCCGCGUGAGUGAAGAAGGUUUUCGGAUCGUAAAACUCUGUUGUUAGAGAAGAACAAGGACGUUAGUAACUGAACGUCCCCUGACGGUAUCUAACCAGAAAGCCACGGCUAACUACGUGCCAGCAGCCGCGGUAAUACGUAGGUGGCAAGCGUUGUCCGGAUUUAUUGGGCGUACAGCGAGCGCAGGCGGUUUCUUAAGUCUGAUGUGAAAGCCCCCGGCUCAACCGGGGAGGGUAAUUGGAAACUGGGAGAGUUGAGUGCAGAAGAGGGGAGUGGAAUUCCAUGUGUAGCGGAGAUAUGCGUAGAUAUAUGGAGGAACACCAGUGGCGAAGGCGGCUCUCUGGUCUGUAACUGACGCUGAGGCUAGAAAGCGUGGGGAGCAAACAGG